CUUCAGGUUGUUAGUUGUAAUUUUCAGCCAGAUGGGAAAAAAACCUCAAUGAUAUUCACAAUGAAUUGCCACCAAACCAAGGCCUUGGGCAGGUGAGGUUUGAGAAUCCAGUUUGGACCAACCUCUAGGAUUUAGACUGGAAAUGGAAUCAUGAUAAUUUUCAAACAAAAACAAAGAACUGGGUAUGUAGUUCCUCAAACAGAUUUGCUCAGACCCAAGACUAUUGAUGGAAAACUAUCAGAGAUAACAGCAAGGAAGCUACCUGAAAGUAAAAAAGGAACAUUACAAGAAGACAGGAGUUCGCUUUGACUAUGACUAGAAUCAAAAGACUGUUUCAGUAUAAUACCAAGGAGGGAGAGGUACUCUGGGUCCACUCACAGGAGGAAACCUCUGGUGGAGUGGGAGUGUAUUCAUGGAAGUCUGGAUCCUGGUUCCUGUGAGAGCAGCCAGCUCUGUGACAAACUGAACUUUCAGGGGAAAAGUUACUUUAUUAAAGAGGAAAGGUAACUAUUCAAUGUAGACCCAGGUUCAUGUUUUAUCAUGUUUUGUACUGGAACCAUUUGUUCCCAUCACUUUCUUGUUUCUCAUGAACUUUUCAUUGUUACUUAA